rnacentral:rRNA from 1 species
AGUAACACGUAAGUAAUCUACCUUCGAGUGGGGAAUAACGUCCGGAAACGGACGCUAAUACCGCAUAAUGCAGCGGCAUCGCAAGAUGACAGUUGUUAAAGGAGCAAUUCGCUUGAAGAGGAGCUUGCGGCAGAUUAGCUAGUUGGUAAGGUAAUGGCUUACCAAGGCUACGAUCUGUAACCGGUCUAAGAGGACGGUCGGUCACACUGACACUGAAUAACGGGUCAG